rnacentral:tRNA from 1 species
GGUCCCGUAGCUCAGCUGGAUAGAGCGCUGCCCUCCGAAGGCAGAGGUCACAAGUUCGAAUCUUGUCGGGUGCGCCA